rnacentral:rRNA from 1 species
UACGUAGGGUGCGAGCGUUGUCCGGAAUUAUUGGGCGUAAAGGGCUCGUAGGCGGUUUGUCACGUCAGGAGUGAAAACUCGGGGCUCAACCCCGAGCCUGCUUCUGAUACGGGCAGACUAGAGGUAUGCAGGGGAGAACGGAAUUCCUGGUGUAGCGGUGAAAUGCGCAGAUAUCAGGAGGAACACCGGUGGCGAAGGCGGGUCUCUGGGCCGUAACUGACGCUGAGGAGCGAAAGCGUGGGGAGCGAACAGG